GACCUCUGCCUCAAAUCAGGAGGACUACCCGCUGAACUUAAGCAUAUCAAACCGGA
rnacentral:rRNA from 1 species